GAGUUUGAUCAUGGCUCAGAUUGAACGCUGGCGGCAGGCCUAACACAUGCAAGUCGAGCGGAAACGACUUAACUGAACCUUCGGGGAACGUUAAGGGCGUCGAGCGGCGGACGGGUGAGUAAUGCCUGGGAAAUUGCCCUGAUGUGGGGGAUAACCAUUGGAAACGAUGGCUAAUACCGCAUAAUGCCUUCGGGCCAAAGAGGGGGACCUUCGGGCCUCUCGCGUCAGGAUAUGCCUAGGUGGGAUUAGCUAGUUGGUGAGGUAAGGGCUCACCAAGGCGACGAUCCCUAGCUGGUCUGAGAGGAUGAUCAGCCACACUGGAACUGAGACACGGUCCAGACUCCUACGGGAGGCAGCAGUGGGGAAUAUUGCACAAUGGGCGCAAGCCUGAUGCAGCCAUGCCGCGUGUAUGAAGAAGGCCUUCGGGUUGUAAAGUACUUUCAGCAGUGAGGAAGGUGGAGUCGUUAAUAGCGGCCUCACUUGACGUUAGCUGCAGAAGAAGCACCGGCUAACUCCGUGCCAGCAGCCGCGGUAAUACGGAGGGUGCGAGCGUUAAUCGGAAUUACUGGGCGUAAAGCGCAUGCAGGUG
rnacentral:rRNA from 1 species